UUUCACUUAUGUUUCAUCACCAAAAUCCUGGGCCUUUGAAACAAUUUUUUCUCUGUCUCCACAGGUGGUGACUGAAAUCUGAGCUUACUUUUGUUUUACUUCAGAGCCUCCUCUCCGUACCUCACUAUCAUUUGCUGAGCAGCAUACAACCUAUGACACGCGUCCAAGGUGUCACACGCAAAAAUCUUGCCAGCACAUGACAUGUAACGCCACCCCUCAAUUCGUUAAACUGCACCCAUAAUAAAAAGAGACGCGAUGUUUAUCUUUGCUGCUGAAUGAAGCAGCAAAUGAUUUUUACAACCCAGGAGCGGUAAGAUGUUUUCACAGGAUACGUCUCAUCCUGGCUUAGUGCCAGCCAGACGGUUUCAAGAACACAUAAUGUUGGACGAUACUUUCUGAAAUCCUCACACACCUGGUGUACUCAUCAGUAUUCGGUACAUCCUUUUUAUAUAAGAAGACUGAAAUUAAGCACAAUACUCCAGGCCCACGUUCUACAAAAGGCUCCAGUUUAAUUUGGCCUUCCAGUUUUAAGGCAGAAAUUCCAGCUGCAGAGCUAACAAAGGUACAACAAGCCAAGGAUCCUUCCUCUGUGCCCAUGAUUCUAUAACACAUCCUCAGCUCCCUCAAUACGGUCUCCACUCGGAUUUGAAAGGAUCAAAAUCUGUAUGUUGUUUUCAAAUUGUUAGCUCACAGUGAUGCUUAACCAACUUGCUGUCUGCAAUCCCUCAUUACACCACCUGCUGAAAAGUGACUGUGUGACCAUUGAUGUAGUGCCCUGGAUUCCCUCAGCUGAUUCAUAUGGGAUUAAUGUGAGAAUUAAAUCCUUCCACUUUCCAGUAUUAGUUAUUGUCUUUCUUCCAUCCCUGAUCCCUUAUGGUAAAUGAAUCAGGCUAUCAAUAUCCAUUCCAUUUUAAAGAUCUGUGGUCAUAACAUCAAAAUUGAUAGAAGAAGAACAAAAAGGACAACGCACUCAUUAUAUUAAAAAAAAAAUCAGCCAAGAAUACGUGAUAAAACAAUACUCCAUUUUAACUUGCAAUACAAGGCCCAAUUUGUUGCAACUUUCUGAACUGAUUUGAAAACAGAUAGCUCUGGCCUCCACCAACAAAAAAGAAACUUUGAUUGCAAGACUACAAGUUGUAACUUUUAAUACUAAAGUUAUCUUCUGAAGAGACCUUUUCUCAGA